UACAGAGGGGGCAAGCGUUGUUCGGAUUUACUGGGCGUAAAGGGCGCGCAGGCGGCUUUGUUUGUCAGGCGUGAAAGCCCCGGGCUUAACCUGGGAACUGCGUUUGAUACGGCAGGGCUAGAGUUCGGGAGAGGAGAGUGGAAUUCCCGGUGUAGCGGUGGAAUGCGCAGAUAUCGGGAGGAACACCCGUAGCGAAGGCGGUUCUCGGGGCCAGUACUGACGCUGAGGAGCGAAAGCGUGGGGAGCAAACAGGG
rnacentral:rRNA from 1 species